CGAGGGGUGCAAGCGUUGCUCGGAAUUAUUGGGCGUAAAGGGCAGGUAGGUGGUCUUAUUUGUCUUGUGUGAAAGCCUUGGGCUUAACCCAAGAAGUGCGCAAGAAACGGUAAGACUAGAGUCCCAGAGAGGCUUGUGGAAUUCCCGGUGUAGCGGUGAAAUGCGUAGAGAUCGGGAGGAACACCAGAGGCGAAGGCGGCAAGCUGGAUGGGCACUGACACUCAACUGCGAAAGCGUGGGGAGCAAACAGGAUUAGAUACCCUGGUAGUCCACGCCGUAAACGAUGGGUACUAGCUUUGGUGGGUCUUGACCCCCGCUGAAGCGGCGCUAACGCACUAAGUACCCCGCCUGGGAAGUACGGUCGCAAGACUA
rnacentral:rRNA from 1 species